UACGAAGGGGGCUAGCGUUGCUCGGAAUCACUGGGCGUAAAGGGUGCGUAGGCGGGUCUUUAAGUCAGGGGUGAAAUCCUGGAGCUCAACUCCAGAACUGCCUUUGAUACUGAGGAUCUUGAGUUCGGGAGAGGUGAGUGGAACUGCGAGUGUAGAGGUGAAAUUCGUAGAUAUUCGCAAGAACACCAGUGGCGAAGGCGGCUCACUGGCCCGAUACUGACGCUGAGGUGCGAAAGCGUGGGUAGCAAACAGG
rnacentral:rRNA from 1 species